GUAGGUGAACCUGCGGAAGGAUCAUUAACACGUAUCCACGUAUCGAAACACUCUGUGAACCUUUUAUUUGCACGAGAAGAGCUGAAAUUAUAGUUAGUAAUGGGUCUUGCAAAAGACGACUAUAAGGACUAGGGAUUCGAUCCCAGUGCUCUCUUGUGACAUCUUCAUUACUACAAACAAACACUUCUAACACUUUACUCCUUUUGACUGAUGUACUUAUGUAAGAGAAAUCUGGCACAAGUCUUUAUCUAAACUAAGCACAACUCUUAGCAAUGGAUAUCUUGGUUCUC
rnacentral:misc_RNA from 1 species